GCAUAUCAAUAAGCGGAGGAAAAGAAACCAACAGGGAUUGCCCCAGUAACGGCGAGUGAAGCGGCAACAGCUCAAAUUUGAAAUCUGGCUUCGGCCCGAGUUGUAAUUUGUAGAGGAUGCUUUUGGUGAGGUGCCUUCUGAGUUCCCUGGAACGGGACGCCAGAGAGGGUGAGAGCCCCGUAUAGUUGGACACCGAGCCUCUGUAAAGCUCCUUCGACGAGUCGAGUAGUUUGGGAAUGCUGCUCAAAAUGGGAGGUAUAUCUCUUCUAAAGCUAAAUACUGGCCAGAGACCGAUAGCGCACAAGUAGAGUGAUCGAAAGAUGAAAAGCACUUUGAAAAGAGGGUUAAAUAGUACGUGAAAUUGUUGAAAGGGAAGCGCUUGUGACCAGACUUGUGCCCGGCUGAUCAUCCAGUGUUCUCACUGGUGCACUCUGCCGGGCUCAGGCCAGCGUCGGUUCUCGCAGGGGGACAAAAGCUUCGGGAACGUGGCUCCUCCGGGAGUGUUAUAGCCCGUCGCUCAAUACCCCUGCGGGGACCGAGGUUCGCGCUCUGCAAGGACGCUGGCAUAAUGGUCACCAGCGGCCCGUCUUGAAACACGGACCAAGGAGUCGAGGUUUUGCGCGAGUGUUUGGGUGUAAAACCCGCACGCGUAAUGAAAGUGAACGUAGGUGAGAGCUUCGGCGCAUCAUCGACCGAUCCUGAUGUAUUCGGAUGGAUUUGAGUAAGAGCGUAUAGCCUCGGACCCGAAAGAUGGUGAACUAUGCCUGAAUAGGGUGAAGCCAGAGGAAACUCUGGUGGAGGCUCGCAGCGGUUCUGACGUGCAAAUCGAUCGUCAAAUUUGGGCAUGGGGGGCGAAAGACUAAUCGAACCAUCUAGUAGCUGGUUACCGCCGA
rnacentral:rRNA from 1 species